GGUGAGUAACGCGUGAGGAACCUGCCUUUCAGAGGGGGACAACAGUUGGAAACGACUGCUAAUACCGCAUGACGCAUUUUGAUCGCAUGGUCGAAAUGCCAAAGAUUUAUCGCUGAAAGAUGGCCUCGCGUCUGAUUAGAUAGUUGGCGGGGUAACGGCCCACCAAGUCGACGAUCAGUAGCCGGGCUGAGAGGUUGACCGGCCACAUUGGGACUGAGAUACGGCCCAGACUCCUACGGGAGGCAGCAGUGGGGAAUAUUGGGCAAUGGGCGCAAGCCUGACCCAGCAACGCCGCGUGAAGGAAGAAGGCUUUCGGGUUGUAAACUUCUUUUAAGUGGGAAGAGCA
rnacentral:rRNA from 1 species